rnacentral:hammerhead_ribozyme from 1 species
AUCCAGCUGACGAGUCCUAAAUAGGAUGAAAACGCGCAUCGAAAUGGAU